CGGAGGGUGCAAGCGUUAUCCGGAUUCACUGGGUUUAAAGGGUGCGUAGGUGGGCAGGUAAGUCAGUGGUGAAAUCUCCGGGCCUAACUCGGAAACUGCCAUUGAUACUAUCUGUCUUGAAUACCGUGGAGGUCAGCGGAAUAUGUCAUGUAGCGGUGAAAUGCUUAGAUAUGACAUAGAACACCAAUUGCGAAGGCAGCUGGCUACACGAAUAUUGACACUGAUGCACGAAAGCGUGGGGAUCAAACAGGAUUAGAUACCCUGGUAGUCCACGCCCUAAACGAUGGAUACUCGACAUACGCGAUACACUGUGUGUGUCUGAGCGAAAGCAUUAAGUAUCCCACCUGGGAAUACGAUCGCAAGAUUG
rnacentral:rRNA from 1 species